UACGGAGGCAGCAGUGGGGAAUAUUGCACAAUGGGCGCAAGCCUGAUGCAGCCAUGCCGCGUGUAUGAAAAAGGCCUUCGGGUUGUAAAGUACUUUCAGUCGUGAGGAAGGUGUUAAGGUUAAUAACCUUAGCAAUUGACGUUAGCGACAGAAGAAGCACCGGCUAACUCCGUGCCAGCAGCCGCGGUAAUACGGAGGGUGCGAGCGUUAAUCGGAAUUACUGGGCGUAAAGGGCACGCAGGCGGUUAAUUAAGUUGGAUGUGAAAUCCCCGGGCUUAAACCUGGGAAUGGCAUUCAAGACUGGUUAGCUAGAGUCUUGUAGAGGGGGUAGAAUUCCAUGUGUAGCGGUGAAAUGCGUAGAGAUGUGGAGGAAUACCGGUGGCGAAGGCGGCCCCUGGACAAAAGACUGACGCUCAUGUGCGAAAGCGUGGGGAGCAAACAGGGAUUAGAUACC
rnacentral:rRNA from 1 species